rnacentral:rRNA from 1 species
UUUAUGGAGAGUUUGAUCCUGGCUCAGGAUGAACGCUGGCGGCGUGCCUAAUACAUGCAAGUCGAGCGAACGGACGAGAAGCUUGCUUCUCUGAUGUUAGCGGCGGACGGGUGAGUAACACGUGGACAACCUACCUAUAAGACUGGGAUAACUUCGGGAAACCGGAGCUAAUACCGGAUAAUAUU